GCUGGGGUGGUGCGGCGAAAGACGUUCGACGGUUGGGUGUCGUGCUCCGUACGCUUUUGAGUGCUCGGGGCUGGGCGAUGGCUGCAGACCGCGUGUCCAGCUCCGGUUUCUGUCGCUGGGCGAAGCGGCCCGGCAGGGGUCCUGACCGGAGGACAGGGCAACGCGGACACCGGAAAGCACCCCGCCUGGGCGGCGGUCGAGACUGUGUCGCGGCACGUGGUAGGGACCGGGGAAUACCAGUGGAUGACAUACCCUGCAGUAAGGUGAGCGCCGUGACUCAAGGGACACGGGGCGUGUGAGAGGGCAAAGACGGCGGGGUGAGGCCAGGGUCAGCUGCACAGGAGAUGGCACCGGAGGUGUGGGGAUUGCCUUGGCUUGAGCGCUGACCACAGGCGGCCGUCGCUUGGGACGUGCGUGUCAUGUCCUGUGCGUGUAAAAUACACUCAGGAAUUGAAAGGUUUAGUACGAAAUAAGGAAUGAAGAUGUUAAUGCUUUUUAAUAUUGACUACAUGGAAUAUUUUGGAUAUAUUGGGUUCAAUAAAAUAUAUUGCUAAAGUUAUUUUCACACUCCUUUUAAAUUUUUUUUAACGUGGCUACCGAAAUAUGUAGAAUUACAUAUGUGGUUUGCUUUAUAACUCUGUUGUCCGUUUACCAAAGACUGACGUCAGGGACUGGCAUUUCAGACUGAAUCUCCAAUAUAACUUUGGGAGCUCCUUGACACACCUCUGCAAAUUCUCUUUGGAAACAAAAGUUUGAUUAUAUUCUUUGACCAAAGUUUUUCCAUGCCUCCUCACUUACUGGUGAUAAGUAAAUUGACUUAGUACUUGCUGUAUGCAACGUAUUGCACUAGGUACUUUGUAUGCAUCAUCUCCAUUGAAUGCCAGCCAUCCUUCAGUAAAGACUACCCCCUUCUCGCAGAGCAGAGUAAGUGGCUCUCAGCUCUCAUGACAUUGGGUUUCAGAUCCUCCCUUAUAACAGCAGGGCUUUCCACAGCUCCUUGUACCCACCCUGCAACGUCUACCCGACUGCAUUUUGAUUAUAUCUGUCUUCACACAUGGAUUGUAAGAUACUGCAGUUGGGAUCCGUGUCUUCUGCCUCCACACCUGACAAAGUAAGCUCUCUAUAAUUUGUUAAAUGGGUGACAAACAUAGCAACUCUCCAGGGAUCUGCUAUUGUCACAGGAAAUCUCCCCUGCAAUCUCAAAGGAUAUUUGGUGAUCCUUGGUGACUGGCACAACCUCAGUAGAUCUUCAGGGCUCCUUUGCUGCAUAGCCUUAUGAACUCUCCUGGAAUCCUGUCCUUACAUGACCUUAGGGAAUCUCCAGAGGUCUCUGGAUAAAGCCUUAGUGGAUCCUUAGGGACCCCUUCCUCACAUAUCCUCAGGAGGUCUCCUGGGAUCCUCUCCUAGGUCCCAGGGAUCUCUUCCGAUAUACAGCCCCAAGGCAUCCCCAGAGAUCCUCCUCAGAGAUGCGUUCCUAACAGCCUCAGGGAUUCCCUACAGCCGGCAAUGGGGAUUUUGGGGGUUCUCCCCAGCUCAGUCUGGCUUAUUGCAAGCAUCAGUGACUGAGGUGACAGCAGGACUAAGAUGAUGGAUAUAGAAAGAAUUUACAAAGGAAAAAUUGACAACAGUUAGUGCCUGGUUGGCUGUGAUUAUAACAUCAUAGGUUUGGUUGCUCCCUAUAAUGUACUAUCUACCGUCUCUUAGGGGACAGAGUGAGACUGAGACUAAGAUUGAUUUGAAGGCUUCAAGACUGGCCAAGCAAAGGAUUACUAGUACCACUGAGAGAAGCAUGAAAUCGAAGAGUGAGCCUGUUUGCAGCCUAGGUUUAUGAUUGGUUUAGGACAUACUGGGUUUGAGGUGAGACGUGUGAAGCCUCAGCCAACCACUAAGUUAGAAGACAUAUUAGUCUCUAGAUGAGGACAUGGGGUCAGACAGGGAGACAGACCAGGGCGAAGUCACAAACCGGUGGUUAGGAAUAGGUCAGUGUCAUAGGCAACUUAAUCCAAAAAGAAAGCCAAGAUGGAGACAGUCUCCAGAAAUGGAUUUUGCCCAGGGGGUUGGUAGAGAUGGGAUGUGGAAGGAGUGUCUAGUAGAAAGCCGGGCGUGAAAGCCAACAUACUGCUGACAUAGAGUCAGAAUGGGACCUGCCCAGGAAUGAAACAGGAGAGAUGCAUGAACACGAGUGGAGCCUUUUUUAUUCAUUUGUGCAACAAAUAAUUACUGAGCUGCAAACGUUGAGGUGUGCCUUCACUAAGAUUUAAGCUGAUAGAAAUUAAAACCAAGGACGUACCAUUUCACAUUUAACAGAUGAGCAAAAAAAUUUGUCAGUGCCAAAAUUGGCAAGGAUGUGGAUUUGUGAGCAGUGCAGAACUCUGAUUCACUGCUGAUGGGAGUGUAAACUGAUUCAAUAACUUUGGACUGCCAUUUAGCAGUUUCUAGUAGUUAAAGAUGCAUACACCCAACAACCCAACAAUUCCACCCUAGAGCAACUUGCCUGUGUGCAAAGACAGGAAUGUUCUUUGCAACAUUGAUCCUAGUCAGAGGAGGAAGUGAUUAAAUGUCAUCUACCAGAGAAGUGGUAAAUUACACAUAAUUAUCCAAUAGAAUGCUGUAGGGUAACGAAUAAAUUAGUUACAUAUAUCAACAUAAAUGAAUUUCACUCUGUUGAGUAAAAUAAAGUUGAAUAUGAAUACACAUGAUAUGAUACCAUGUAAUUCCUUUCUUUUAAGUAAAAGAAUGCUAAAAGCUGAAUUCAGGAGAGCAGUUUGCCUCUGGGUGUUGUAGGUGGGGACUUUGAUCAGUCAGGAAUUCACAGGGCUUCAGUUGUAUUGUUCUGCUUUAUUUAUUAAGGCAGAUGGAGUGUAUUCAUGUGUUUGUUAUAUUUUUUGUGACUCUGUAUGUGUAUAAAAUGAUUUAUAAUACAUAAAAGUAUAAUUUUGCAGCUCUUAACUCUGUUAUACAGUGAGCUACUUCAAACUCUUGUUGGAAAAGGCAAAUAGAAAUGAUGUGACAAUGAGUGAAGAGUGUUCACUGAGAGGCUUGGAGGAGUCAGGACAACUGAUAAGAUUUGUGAGUGUUGUUGAAGGCUGAGUAGGUGUGACAGGACAAAUGCAAGGAGUCUGUCCAGGUAGAAGGAACAUCAUUGCUGCAGCAAGGAGACAAGAGAAAAACCGAGUGCUGGGUGACAGGUGAGUACUUAGCAUGGCUAGAUUUGUGAUGCAGGUUGGGUUCCCUGGGAUACGGAGGGUGAGACAGAUACUUGCGUGCAGAUGGCUUAUUGGGGAAGAGAGGCUGAACUGUGAUGGGCUGCGAUGGAGCAUCAGGCUAACCCAAGGCUUGGCCCUCCCACGUCUUGAAUUGAGACAAACAGGUGGAGCCCCUAUACUGCUGCAUAGACCACGGGUGAAUGUGGGCUGACCCCUACGAGGGGCACAUAAUCUUGGGAGAGGAAGUGCCCUUCAGCCGAGGGCAGUUCCCAAGGAGGGACAGGUCUCUGAGCCAUCAGCAGCCAGCACUCCCUGCACCUGAGGGAAAUGAGAGCCUUGGUCCCCACGGGGGAAUCUGGGCAGCAUGCUGCAGCAGCUACUGCAGUCCCCCCUUUGCAUCACUCAGGUCCACUGGCUUCACAGUCCACCCAUCUGGGAAGACCAGCGCCAGGAUUCUGGUUGGUCGCUUUUCUGGGGAAGCUUACAAGAGGAAGGUUGACGUGAUCUUAGAGCCGCAGCGUUAUUCCCAUCGUAGACUCCCUCCCUCCGGUCGCACCAUUAUGCUGCUGUUCUGGGAUGGCUUCAGGAUGAGACUGUGGGCAGCAGGUGGAAAAACAGAAAAAUAGCAACGAUGGCUUUCAAGACCCUGGGUCCAGUUGUUCCUGAGCCCAGCUGUCCCCCCUCCACUGCACGGAGUCCACCACUCUCAAGGCAGUGGCCUGGGGACAGUGACAUUCUGGACAGGAGGAGAGCCUGAGAUCAAUGCUGGACAUCCUCAGAGGGGCUCCGCUGUGAGACAGGACAUGUGAGAACUGCUCUCUGAACCAGUGGCCACAGGUGGUUCGUUGGGUAUGGGGAAAAAGAGAGUCCAAUUUCCCUUUACGUCUAUCUUUUAGCUAGACAAGGGAAGAAAUUAGAUUUUGCCAAAAUUUAGUAUGUGAGUAUUGAUAGAGGUACAUGGUGUGAUUUGUAAAUAAGUAUCCACAUAUUAGGAUUCAUGUCCAAGAUUUCUUUUACUGAUAGGCAUGGAAAAUAAAGAAGACCCUGGUGUAAAGUACUCUUUAUUUCUACUCAGUAUUUUAUCUCCAGGCGUAAGUAUUGUCCCCUAUUUCUGCUAAACUGCAGAAUGCCGCCUCUGCCGUCUCGCCUGGCCUGCUGUCCGGCUCUGCUCAUGCAGGUUGUUCCAGCAAAUGGCCAUGUCCACACUUUAGACCUAGAGCUACUCACUGUCUCUGAAAAGGUACAGUCUGGCAGGCCAUUCCCAAAACCCGGUCUGCGCCCAGUCUCGCCCCAUGUGGCUGCUCAGAACAGGUUUGCUGGAUUGUAUUCACGGUUACAAAGUUUUCCUCAAUGCCCAAGGUACUAUUUGUGAAGGCUGGCGUCCUGCGUUGUGCUCCUCCAUCUCAACCUUGAGGAGGGCAGAAGCUGGAAGACGCAGAGGGGCUGAUAGAUGCUUCCUCCUGGUUCCGAGGGUGGGCUGGGGUGAACGUUACACUCCAGAAGCUUUGAUCCCAUCAGGUACACGGGGAGGAAAGGCAGCCGGAAGCCCAGGGACUGUGACUGCCAGAGCUGAGAGGAGAAGCACCCAGACAGGCACAGAACACACUCUCUUCAGUGCUCAGCACACAACAAGACUCCCAAGCGUUACUUGCUCUUUACAGCCCAGUUGCUCAGUGAACUGAACAAAAAUUAAAGCCCGGAAUCUGGUCUUUGUCUGCCCCGCUCCGUGACUAUAGCAACAAGGCCCAAGGCAGGUGGAUGCACCCUGGGGUCUGCACUGGCCACUCCUUGUCAUCCUCCCUCUUCCUGGAUGACCUGCACGUGUGACUGGUUCUGCCAAAGGAGGACAGUGGCAGCCCAACCAGGUCUCCCUGGGACAUGGCAGGGGAGCAGGGACAAGCCUUUCUGGGGGAGUUAGGCUCCUAGGAAUGUAUCUUAAGGCAGCCCCUGCCCAAGGGACCAGGCCCCAGGGCACAGCCACUGUGAGGCGACCCUGUGGCACCAUCCAAGGGACUUCCGCCAUGCCUCAGCCCCUCCAUCACUGGGUGACCCAGGGCAGGGCUGGGCAGGGUGCAGGCUGGGCCUACAGUAGAGAAGAGCAUUGGGACAGCCUCUGUGCGGGCACUCCCCUGGCCACCUGCGAGAGCGGACUCAGUCCUUCCCUGCUCUCUCCUUGCUUCCCGCGUCCUUCUCCCUGCACACGUGGUCCCCAGGUCUCCUCGCCCCCAGCCCACAUGGAUUUCCACGACUCUGGAUCCUUCCCAGAUACCAGGAGGCUCUGCCCGGAAGCUACUUCCCUCACUGCAGCAUCGGCUAGUCAUCUCUAGAUGGCGCAGGGUGAAGCAGGGCCGCCCGCAUGCCAGAAAUAAGCCUCGUCCAGACUUAAUAAACACGUAAGGUGGCUUGGAGUGGUGCCUGGUCAGUAGGAACGCAUCCAUGUUUGAAAUGAGAUGCCUGGAGAGAGUUCCAGGAGCCCUGUGGGAGCCGGGCCUCAGGAUGCCUGCACGGAAGCCCUCCAGGUCUUUCUAGGUCCAGCAGCUUGCUCUUUGCCCCUGGCAUGGAUGCAGUGGGGAGCCCACGACUAGACACCCCCAGCCCUGAACAUCAACAAGUCCUGGCCAGCAGGGGCAGAAGCCCAGGCCAGCCAAGGAGGCAGAGAGGGGGUCUCCGGCAGGGGUCCAUGAUACCAGGCACCCUUCCAAACACGGAGCUGCCAGCACCCACUGGGCUCCCAAUGCUGUCUUUGACAACUCCUCUGUGUCGCUCCUGGCUUGUAUUCAAAUUCCUCCAGCAGGCUGCGUCUGCCCACCAGCUCCUCACUCUUGUCCCCACCACUCUAGCUAUGAGGGUUUCCUGUAGGUGACAACCUCCUACCCCACCUGUAGGCCACUUUGUCAGUAGAAGCAGGCUGGGCAUUCAGAACAUGCUUGUCAAGUGAACUGGAUAGAAGUGACCAGAAGGAAAUGGAGACAUGGAGAGCUAGGGCCACCCUGUCCCCACGCGAGAGGCCUGGAACCCUUUCACCCCUUCCUGGACUUUGCCCAAGCUCUGCUGCCCAGAGGGCGACUGGCAGUGGUGGGAUUUACUAUCAGGGGACCUCUUGCUCCCAACUGGGCCACGUGGUUUAUAAAUACCAGCGGCCUGUCUGGAAGUGUCUCCACUUGGGAAGGUCCAGGGCCCAAACGUAUUAUUCCCCGUGCAGGAUAUGGAAGGAAGGGAGGGGUGAAGUGGCCUGAGCAGGUUCCAGCCCAUCUCUGGGCCUCGCCUUCCCCGUCUGUAAGAUGGGGUCAUAAUCCCAUCCUGCCUGCCUCACAGGGUUCUUCUAAAGAUCAAGGGAGCAGGAGGGGAGAAGGGGAGAGGUGGGGAGAGAGGAAAAGAGGAAGGAGGGAGGGAGACUGAAGAGGGCUUUCUCUCAUUUCAACCCUCAGUGAGCUGCUGACACCCGACGGAGGGCUACCCUCGUGGGCUCCCAGCCCAGUUCACUCCAGGUGCUGUCAGACCUGGCUGUGGCCCAGCUGUGGCCCCAUGUCCCAGCAUCCGUGGCUCUCGGGCUCCAGGCCAAGGCCAGGGGCACUGAGCACCUGUUGACCUGGCCGAGUGCGUGCCGCGCCCUCCCUGACCUGUAUUCCUCCUUUCCUCGGUCACUCCUGUCAGCCAUUGACCCCCGAAACUCCUCUCCAUGGCUGCCUGCUUUGGCCACACCCAGCGUCCCACCAACUGGCCAGGCGUCCUUCUGUGGCUUCGGGAGCUGAAAUGAGCCUGAGUCAUCACACCCACAAGCCAGCCAGGGUGCACGGACAUGGGGCUUGGGGACUGUUGGGGACUGUUGGAGACUGAAGGGUUCAGGGAAAUCGGAAAGAGGAACUGGGCUCUGUUUCCCCAGCACAGGACGAUGUCUGAGCCUCCCAUGAGCUCGCCACCCAGGGAGGCAGUGCUGGUCUCCUGGAGCCCUGCCCCCAGGGCCCUAGCACCUCACUUGCUGGAUGCCCAGAGGCACCCAGAAUUCCCUCGGCUCCUCUCCCCUCAUCUCCCAUGCAUCUCCCUGAAUCAUGGGCAUUGUAUCGCCCACUGUAAACCUGGGAACAACACCAGGUGCAGCCAGAGAGCUGGCCAGGGUCAGGUGGCCCCAACUCUGUGUGACCUGCGCAGGGCCCAGCCCCUCUCUGGGCCUCACCUUCCCCACCUGGAAAUGGGGUGAUAACCACCAUCCCGUGUACCUCACAGGGUUCUUCUAAAGAUCGAAUGAGGCAAUACACAGGAAAUUGCUUUGAUGAGAUGCCAGCCUGCACUAAUGUCAGGGGCUGUCAUUUUAAUUAGUUUGGAGGCCAGGGUUACUCUGCACUCAACUCUGCUAAUUUCUCCUCCCCCAAGAGGAACCUGGGCCUGCCUCGGGUUGGGACCCCCAGCACACAGAGAUGCUCCAUGAAUACUUGAGAAAUCAGUCUACUCUCCACUGGAGCCCCUCCCUCUUCUCAAUAGAACACACAGCACAGACCAGCGGUCCUCUCUGGCUACAACCAGGCCUGCAGCUCACCCGGAAUUCCUGCCCCAGCUAUGGGGGGACUGCCAGCCCUGACUUGGAGGCCGUUUGCCCCCGGUGCAGAGAUGGCAGCCUGCAAAGAAGCAUCCUUUAAAUGUCUUCCUACGGGUCUGAGUCCACACUGUGACUCAUGGGCGUGCUAGCAUCAGCCUGUUUCCUCACUGGGAGAGGAGGAUAACGAGGGUGAAUUCUUUUCUGCAGGAGUUUCAGCAGGAGACAAAGCAAGCUCUGUGUACCUGGAGACUGAGCCCUUCCCCCUUGCUGCUCCCAGGGAAGCCACAAAGUGCACAGAGACAACAGCAUGCAGACGGCCGGGAGCUGCAGAGAGCCACGGCCGGUGGCCGCCUGAGAUCCGUCUCUUCUGCACCUGCACUUUGCAGAUGGGCAAGCUGAGGCCUAGAAACCAGCAAUAUAUUUAAGGCCAAGCUGGAUUUAGCCCCAGCUCCCCUGACGCCCCAGGUGGUGUGUUCCCAUGCCUCCUUCACUCUCGAUAGGAAGCAGCCCCCAGAGGGAGGAAGGACAGGGGACAGAGGGAGAGGUGCAGUUUGAGAGGGCAGCCACCUCAGAAGGAGGACGGGGGUACGAAUGAAGGGCUGGCCUCUCUCAGGCUUUUCUCUUACCCUUGGUUCUUGGGCCUUGCAGGACCUGCAAGGGCAGAUCAGAAGGGCGGUCCCGGGCAAGCCCACUGCACUUCCUGACUUUCCGAGCACAGGGACGCCCGCUUGCCUGGGCCCUGACCACAGAGACCCCAGCUUCCCCUGAGUGUCAGGGGCCAUUACAGUGGAAAAGCACAGUCGAGGCCCUGGCAGCCUCCUGCAACCUCCAUAUUUACUCUCAAGGGAAGCGGGGCCCAAAAGGCAAUGGGAAUGGCCCAAGGUCACCUGGCUGGCCAGUGGAGCAGCCAGGACCAGAAGAUGUCCCUCAGCACCCAGCUGCCCAUGUGUCCAAGAGGGCAGAGUUCUGAGUGGACACAGAAGCAGAGACUGGCUCACAGCAGCAGGGACAGGGUCAAGGCUCUGUGCCAAGCCCAGUCCCCAGUGUCUACCCGUCAGCCGGCCUCUAGGGCCCAGCAGUGAUCAGGUGGCCCCCAGGCCAAGGUGCAGAGCAGGUUCAGGGCUGGACCCUCAACCCUAGAUGAGACAGAGAGUGAGGCAGGACCCCACUGUGUCUUGCUGGGCAGUGUGAGGACCACCUGUGUCCAGACCACCUAGGGAGUGCUGGUUUUCACCCCCACCCAGCCCCCAACCCGCUGAAUCAGGGUCUCUGGGGUCUGUGCCUCCCCUGCCCCACAUGUUCUCACCCUGGGCCUGUGGACAAGCAAGAGGUAAAGCUGGAUAUGUCCCCAGGGGUGGGGGCAUCCUCAUGACCCCGCCCACCAGUGGAGGAACAUUGCGGUGGAAUUUUCCAUGACCCGUGACCGUCUACAGGGAGGCAGUGGCCAAUUUCCUGGCCCCUGGCUCACAAGCAGCUGCUAAUUGGUGCUGUCUGUUCUAUUUCUGCUCCAGGCCUAAAUGAGGUCACCACCCAGUGCCGCCCUGAGGCGAGCCCAGCCUGGAGGGCCUGGCUGCCCAGCAACGUGGCUGGGGAAGGCUGCGAAACCUGGAUCAGGACAGCCUAGGGGGACUGCCUGUCUGAAAUGGACAGAUUUGCCAGGAUGAGGGACUUUAAGUGCCCAAACCAGGAAGUCCCAGGCAGGGGGGAGGAGUUGGUCACCGAGGACAGCUGGGACCAUCCUGGUGUGCCUGCCCUGUGGGGCGAGCUCCUGGCUGGGCGGGUUGUCGGCCGCUCUGAAGGCGAGAAAGGCUGGGGACCCUCGCAGUCAUGGAAGCCCACUCCUCAGAAACUCCACCGGGGCCAGCCGCUCAGCACACCCAGGCUGGGCGCUCCACUCUGGCUGCAUAGCGAGGCUGGGAUCCCUGAGCCCCCAGGCUGGGACUUGCCGAGUAUCUGUGACUGCUGCUCAGGAUGUAGGCAACAGCAGCAGGAGUACUCCACAAGUGGCUUCUGAGAGUUUCUCCCAGAGCUGCCUCGGGCUCAUCACCUCCCCAAAGCCAGCCUCAGAAAAACAUGAUCCAAACUCCCCCUGAGCGAGCACCUGCUGUUCCCCACGCAGGUGGAUACUUCGUGCUCCCUUGGACUUCACGAGCUAACACUUGUUGAGCCCUUACGACACUCAACACACCACAUGCUCUGAUCAAUGAUGUCAUCCAACCUUCACGACCCCCGCCCGGGACGUGGGUUUCAGUGUCUGAAUUACAGAGGAAGAAGCCAAAGUAAAGGAUCUGUCUAGGGCAGUGGUUCUCAGUGGGGGCGAUUUUGCCCCCCUCCCCCAGGGGACAUUUGGCAACGUCUGGAAACAUUUUUGGUUGUCCCAACCGGGGGCUGCUGCUGGCCUCCAAUGAGUACAGACCAGAGACACUACUGGACAUCCUCCAGUGCACAGCACAGCCACCACCACGAAGAACAAUAGGCCCCCAAGGUCCUUAGUGCCAAGGUUCAGAAACCUCGGUCCAAGGCUCACAGCAACUCCCAGGCGGAGCCCAGAUUUGAACCCCCUGCUCUCGGCCACUUUGCUGUACCUUCAUUACUCUGGUUUGAUAUGUGCGAAAACUGAGGCUCAGACUCGCGAGGGCAAAGUCUCAGAGCCAGCAGAGGUGGAGCUGGGCUCCGUGAAGCUGCCCCUCACUUGGGCUGCAGCCCUGCUCUCCUCCCGCAUCCUCGUUGGGUCGUCCAGGUUUCCUUCGUGGGCUCCUCUUCCGCCGCCCUGCCCUUAAAUGCUCAUGGGUGACCCUAUAACUCUUCACCCAGCAGAGGUGCUUCUGAGAGUGGUAGGGACACCUGCUGCAAUGGGGCAGGCAUGGUAGGGAUAGACUAGGACUGUCCCCAGUAACAAGGACACGGGGCCCCUGUCCAGGUCCCCUUUUCUCUUGCUCUGAGCAGAUCCACACCCAUCUGUUCACUGAGGAGUCUGGAUAUGACCUCCAGACCCAUGCACACAGCUGUCUGCAGAUGCCCCCCGUCAGGUGCGCCCAUCCACGUGACCCAUAUCAACACCACCACGUUACUUUCCACUUUUUUAUCAUGGCAUCCUAGCGGGCAUGAAGUGGUAUCUCAUUGUGGUUUUGAUUUACAUCUCGCUAAUGACUAAUGACAUUGAGCAUCUUUUCAUGUGCUCAUUGACCAUUUGUAAAUCUUCUCUGGAGAAAUGUCAAUAUAGGUUUGAUAACUCCUUGCCCAUGGUUCUUUAUGUGGUGGCUGUCUCAAUCCUGCCAUGAUUAUUGUGGUCUUGUGGGAGCCUUUCUACAGAGUCCAGCAUCAGAGACUGGCCAUGGAGUUUUCUGGGGAUGUGCCCCAACACAGCCUCCUGCUUGUGUGCUGUGCUCCCUCCCCUUCCAGUGGCAGACAUCACCAAUCUAUCAUGGCACUUGAAAGCCCAGAGAUUUAUCCACCGGGCCCCACUGGAUGUGCAAUUGGGUGGAGUGUCUGCCCUUGAGGGGUUCAUUCAUGAGGGAAGGGAAAAGAAAUGAAUGGACCUAACUUUUCAGGUGCUGACAUAGAAGUCUAUGCUGGGGACAGUGGGUCCCAAGGAGAGUGGGGUUAGUUCUACCCAGAGGGGACACAGAGGCCAUAGCUGGGAUUUGGGGGCUAGUAAAUAACUCCCUUCCCAUGUUCAGAACCAAGUGAGAGAUGAGACACACAAGUCAAACACAGAUCAAACUGUCAGCUUUAUUACUGAAAAAGCUAAGCUGACCCACAACGAGAUAUCCCUUGACACUCACUAGGAUGGCCAUAAUCAGAAAGACAGGUGAUAACACAUGUUGACGAGGAUGUGCAGAAAUGGGAAUCCUUUAGCCCUGCAGGCGAGGAUGUAAAAUGAUGCGGCCACUGUGGAAAACAGUCUGGUGGUUUCUCAAACAAUUAAGCAUUACCAUAUGACCCAGCAAUUCCAUGCCCAGGUAUAUACCCAAGAGAAUUGACAACAUGUGCACAUAGAAACUUGUCCACGAAUGUUCAUAGCAGCAUUAUUCAUAACAGCCAAAGAGUGGAAGCAACCCAAAUGUCCAUCAACUGAUGAAUUAAUAAAUAAAAUGUGGUCUAGCCACACAAUGGAAUAUUAUUCAGCCAUGAAAAAGAAUGCAGUACUGAUGCAUGCCACAACAUGGAUGAAUCUUGGAAACACUAUGCAAGGUGAAAGAAGACAAUCACAAAAGGUCACAUAUUAUAUGAUUCCAUUUAUAUGAAAUAUCUAGAAUAGGCAAAUUCGUAGAAACAGAAAGUAGAUUAGUAGUUGCCUAGGGCUGAAGGGAGGGAGGGGUAAGGAGCGACUGCUAAAGGGUAUGAGGUUUCUUUAUGGGUGAUGAAGAUGUUCUAAAACUGAUUAUGGCAAAUAUACUAAUAACCAAUGAACUGUGUGCUUUAAAUGAGUGAAUUGUAUGAUAUGUGAAUUAUCUCUCAGUAAAGCUGUCAUUAUGAAAGCUAA